rfam:Anas platyrhynchos breed Pekin duck contig88392, whole genome shotgun sequence.
AGCGUACUCCUUUCCGCAUUCUUCCUCAUGGCCAAAAGCAAAUAUUUAUUCCCCGCAUAUUUUUCCCUUUCUUCCAGGCUCCAGUUUUGAAACCUGUGGAUUCCCCCGGCCAAACGUUGUGCUUGACUGGCACGAAUCGGGCCGGUUUGUUUUUCCCUGCUUUCUCGAGCUGCUUCUCAAAAUCGCCCUGCAGCGGGGCGGGGGGGAGAAGGGGGAAGGGGAGGCUGCUCUAUGGGGCAGCGCUGUUUUACAUACGGGUUAGACACGGCUAGAGGCCAAGGUCAAGUUGAAAGUUGCAGUCUAGCCAAUGUGAGAACUGUCAUUCACAGC